UACGAAGGGUGCAAGCGUUAAUCGGAAUUACUGGGCGUAAAGCGCGCGUAGGUGGUUCAGUAAGUUGGAAGUGAAAUCCCCGGGCUCAACCUGGGAACUGCUUUCAAAACUGCUGAGCUAGAGUACGGUAGAGGGUGGUGGAAUUUCCUGUGUAGCGGUGAAAUGCGUAGAUAUAGGAAGGAACACCAGUGGCGAAGGCGACCACCUGGACUGAUACUGACACUGAGGUGCGAAAGCGUGGGGAGCAAACGGGAUUAGAUACCCUGGUAGUCCACGCCGUAAACGAUGUCAACUAGCCGUUGGGAGUCUUGAACUCUUAGUGGCGCAGCUAACGCAUUAAGUUGACCGCCUGGGGAGUACGGCCGCAAGGUUAAAACUCAAAUGAAUUGACGGGGGCCCGCACAAGCGGUGGAGCAUGUGGUUUAAUUCGAAGCAACGCGAAGAACCUUACCUGGCCUUGACAUGCUGAGAACUUUCUAGAGAUAGAUUGGUGCCUUCGGGAACUCAGACACAGGUGCUGCAUGGCUGUCGUCAGCCCGUGUCGUGAGAUGUUGGGUUAAGUCCCGUAACGAGCGCAACCCUUGUCCUUAGUUACCAGCACGUAAUGGUGGGAACUCUAAGGAGACUGCCGGUGACAAACCGGAGGAAGGUGGGGAUGACGUCAAGUCAUCAUGGCCCUUACGGCCAGGGCUACACACGUGCUACAAUGGUCGGUACAAAGGGUUGCCAAGCCGCGAGGUGGAGCUAAUCCCAUAAAACCGAUCGUAGUCCGGAUCGCAGUCUGCAACUCGACUGCGUGAAGUCGGAAUCGCUAGUAAUCGUGAAUCAGAACGUCACGGUGAAUACGUUCCCGGGCCUUGUACACACCGCCCGUC
rnacentral:rRNA from 1 species